CCAGUUGACCCUCCAGAGUCGAGUCAGGUUCCAGUUGACCCUCCAGAGUCGAGUCAGGUUCCAGUUGACCCUCCAGAGUCGAGUCAGGUUCCAGUUGACCCUCCAGAGUCGAGUCAGGUUCCAGUUGACCCUCCAGAGUCGAGUCAGGUUCCAGUUGACCCUCCAGAGUCGAGUCAGGUUCCAGUUGACCCUCCAGAGUCGAGUCAGGUUCCAGUUGACCCUCCAGAGUCGAGUCAGGUUCCAGUUGACCCUCCAGAGUCGAGUCAGGUUCCAGUUGACCCUCCAGAGUCGAGUCAGGUUCCAGUUGACCCUCCAGAGUCGAGUCAGGUUCC